CAUGUAUAUUUGCCGCGUUUUGUCGGCUAUAUAAACAAAGGUACGUGGCCUCAUGAGAGAUGAGAACGCUUCGCUAUUUCUACAUAGUAUCAGAUCCUUCUCUCAGAUACAUCUAAAAACAAGCCAAGCCGAUGUCAUCAUCCUCUUCUACUCCGGUUGGCGCAUCGUCCUUCGUCAUUCCGGUGACAGAGAAGCUAGGAAAGAGGAACUAUCUCCUACGGAAGGCGCAAGUUCUUCCCGUCAUUAGAGGAGUCUAGAUGUAUGGGUAUCUCGAUGGUACUGCUGAAGUCCCUAUAAAAAGGAUCAAAGUACAAAAAGAAGACAAGGUAAUCGAGAAGAUGAAUUCAAAUUUUAUCCGGUGGAUAGCCGAGGAUCAAUAAGUCCUCGGUUACCUGAUGACCACUUUGACGUUGUUGUUCCGGGUCAGUACGGGGUAGUACAGUAGCAUGCUUGUCUCCCUCGGCGCCUACUAUGACACUAUUUGCCCAUUGCCCGACACUACACGUCGUAGCGGCGGGGUGUAAUUUGUAGCAAUAGCGUUCUGAUACCACUUGUUGUAAUUCGUAGCUAUUCCUCUCUCAGAAAUUUUGCCUAUCUGAAGCCCACUCUGCUUUCUUUUGGUUUCUGACGAUUGUAUGCUGAUG
rnacentral:lncRNA from 1 species